rnacentral:tRNA from 1 species
CGGCGCGUAGAGUGCGGUCUGUGCCAACUAGUUUCAAUAAGUUGCGCUACGUUGAGAUCUUGACACGGUAGAGGUCAGCGGUUCGAAUCCGCUCGUGCCUACCA